rnacentral:rRNA from 1 species
GACGAACGCUGGCGGCGUGCUUAACACAUGCAAGUCGAACGGAAAGGCCCUGCUUUUGUGGGGUGCCCGAGUGGCGAACGGGUGAGUAACACGUGAGUAACCUGCCCUGGACUUUGGGAUAACUUCAGGAAACUGGGGAUAAUACCGGAUAGGAGCUCCUGCUGCAUGGGGGGGGUUGGAAAGUUUCGGCGGUUGGGGAUGGACGCGCGGCUUAUCAGCUUGUGGGUGGGGUAGUGGCUUACCAAGGCUUUGACGGGUAGCCGGCCUGAGAGGGUGACCAGCCACAUUGGGACUGCGGUACGGCCCAGACUCCUACGGGAGGCAGCAGUGGGGAAUAUUGCACAGUGGGCGGAAGCCUGAUGCAGCAGCGCCGCGUGCGGGAUGACGGCCUUCGGGUUGUAAACCGCUUUCGCCUGUGACGAAGCGUGAGUGACGGUAAUGGGUAAAGAAGCACCGGCUAACUACGUG